rnacentral:sRNA from 1 species
GUCGUGAGAUGUUGGGUUAAGUCCCGCAACGAGCGCAACCCUUGUCAUUAGUUGCUACAUUCAGUUGGGCACUCUAAUGAGACUGCCGGUGACAAACCGGAGGAAGGUGGGGAUGACGUCAAGUCCUCAUGGCCCUUAUGGGUAGGGCUUCACACGUAAUACAAUGGCGCGUACAGAGGGUUGCCAAGGCGCGAGCUGGAGCCAAUCCCUAUAAAGCGCGUCGUAGUCCGGAUUGCAGUCUGCAACUCGACUGCAUGAAGUCGGAAUCGCUAGUAAUCGCGGAUCAGCAUGUCGCGGUGAAUACGUUCCCGGGUCUUGUACACACCGCCCGUCACACCAUGGGAGUGGGUUUCACCAGAAGCCGGUCGCCUAACCGCAAGGAGGGCGCCGACCACGGUGAGAUUCAUGACUGGGGUGAAGUCGUAACAAGGUAGCCGUAUCGGAAGGUGCGGCUGGAUCACCUCCUUUCUAAGACAAGGCGCCAUUCAGCGCCCACCCUCUAUCGGUUGUAAUUUCGCGAAGCGCGGCGAGUCCGGGCCAUUUUUUCAAUGCGGCGAUCCAUCGGAUUCGAAUCCGGAGGGUCUGUAGCUCAGUUGGUUAGAGCACCGUCUUGAUAAGGCGGGGGUCGAUGGUUCGAAUCCAUCCAGACCCACCAACCAACGCCCCGCGCGAAUCCACAUGCGUCUCGGGGCCAUAGCUCAGCUGGGAGAGCGCCUGCUUUGCAAGCAGGAGGUCAUCGGUUCGAUCCCGAUUGGCUCCACCAGCAACAUCCAAGCGUGGGAGGAAUCAGCAAUCAACGCCGCGGCGUCGCGAUGUUGAUUGGUGCUUCUUCCAAUGAAGUGCCGAUCGGCUGCUCUUUAACAAUCAGGGAUAGAAGGUAAAGUUGUUUUCGUCGUGCGAGGUGCGCGGGGUAUUGCGUGCGCGAGCGCGGCGGAGGCUAACUGGGUUAUGUAUUGCAUCGUGUCUUCACCUGGAAGGGUGGAGGCGCAAGCACAAGCGUGAGAAUUUCCUAUUUCUUUGUGAUGCCCUGGGGGACUUUGCCCUGGGGUGCUUCGUCGGUUGAGGCAGCAAGGUUAUAGGGUCAAGCGAAUAAGUGCAUGUGGUGGAUGCCUUGGCGAUGAUAGGCGACGAAGGACGUGACAGCCUGCGAUAAGCAGCGGGGAGCCGGCAAAUGGGCUUUGAUCCGCUGAUUU